AGUGAACGCUGGCGGCGUGCCUAAUACAUGCAAGUCGAACGGAGUGGCGCACGGGUGAGUAAUGUAUAGCUAAUCUGCCCUACACUAGAGGACAACAGUUGGAAACGGCUGCUAAUACUCUAUAGUGUAGGAUGAGGCUAUAUUGUAUCAGCUAGUUGGUGAGGUAAUGGCUCACCAAGGCUAUGACGCAUAACUGGUCUGAGAGGAUGAUCAGUCAACCUGUAACGGAGGCACGGUCCGGACUCCUACGGGAAGCAGCAGAAGGGAAUAUUGCUCAAUGGGGGAGAACCUGAAGCAGCAACGCCGCGUGGAGUAUGACACUUUUCGAAGCGUAAACUCCUUUUGUUAGGGAAGCGUUACCUAACGAAUAAGCACCGGCUAACUCCGUGCCAGCAGCCGCGGUAAUUC
rnacentral:rRNA from 1 species